AUUGAACGCUGGCGGCAUGCUUUACACAUGCAAGUCGAACGGUAACAGGCCGCAAGGUGCUGACGAGUGGCGAACGGGUGAGUAAUGCAUCGGAACGUGCCCAGUCGUGGGGGAUAACUGCUCGAAAGAGCAGCUAAUACCGCAUACGAUCUAUGGAUGAAAGCGGGGGACCGUAAGGCCUCGCGCGAUUGGAGCGGCCGAUGUCAGAUUAGGUAGUUGGUGGGGUAAAGGCUCGCCAAGCCAACGAUCUGUAGCUGGUCUGAGAGGACGACCAGCCACACUGGGACUGAGACACGGCCCAGAAUCCUACGGGAGGCAGCAGUGGGGAAUUUUGGACAAUGGGGGCAACCCUGAUCCAGCAAUGCCGCGUGCAGGAAGAAGGCCUUCGGGUUGUAAACUGCUUUUGUACGGAACGAAACGGUCUGGGUUAAUACCCUGGGCUAAUGACGGUACCGUAAGAAUAAGCACCGGCUAACUACGUGCCAGCCGCCGCCGUAACAC
rnacentral:rRNA from 1 species